GAGCUAUAAUGAAAAGAAAAGCCAGGUUUCACAGAUCAACAAACCACCACUUUCUCCUGAGCUGAGCACUUGUCCGAGGUCAACCUUGUAUACAAGCUUGUGUUUCACAUCGACAAAAAUCUAAAAUUCCAAUCUAAACGUAGGAUAUGGAUACUAAGUGCUUAGUAUUAAAGUAAAUAUUACUUAGUACUCCCCCACAUGAACUCAGAAUUAUAGUGGUUCAUCUACAAAAAGUAUAGUUUUUAUAUAUCAAGCUAGAAUUUUAAAGUAAUAAUAUAGUGUUUUUUGUCUACUGUAUGUUAGUUUUAACAUGUUUUUAAAAAGUAAUUCCAAGUUAAUCUACUGUGCAGCGACAAAGAGCAUUUUCAUGCUAAUCAUUUGUACCAUACAGAUGGCGGGUAUGGCAGGUACCAUUGUACUUGGUCAGGCCCCAGCCAGAGGUGACACACAUCAUCCCUCCAGGGAAGUUGUCGCCAGUCCUAGCCACACACACAGGAGACACACGGGGGCCCAGCUGAGCAGGGCUCUGCAGCUUGAUCAGGGUGAUAUCGUUGUUGAUG